GAUCAAGCCACCAAGGGCGCACGGUGGAUGUCUUGGCGUCGAGAGGCGAUGAAGGACGUGGGAGCCUGCGAUAAGCC
rnacentral:rRNA from 1 species